rnacentral:rRNA from 1 species
CAAUAGCGUAUAUUUAAGUUGUUGCAGUUAAAAAGCUCGUAGUUGGAUUUCGGGUGGGACGCAGCGGUCUCGCAUUGCGUUUGUACUGCUGCAGCCCUCCUUCUUGCCGGGGGCGGCCUCUCGGACUUCACUGUCUGGGGGUCAGAAUCGGCGAUGUUACUUUAAGUAAAUUAGAGUGUUCAAAGCAAGCUUACGCUCUGAAUAUAAUAGCAUGGGAUAACACGACAGGACUCUGGCCUAUCGUGUUGGUCUAUAGGACCAGAGUAAUGAUUAAGAGGGACAGUCGGGGGCAUUCGUAUUCCGUUGUCAGAGGUGAAAUUCUUGGAUUUACGGAAGACGAACAUCUGCGAAAGCAUUUGCCAAGGAUGUUUNCAUUGA